GGAAAGAACCAACCAGGGAUUGCCCUAGUAACGGCGAGUGAAGCGGCAACAGCUCAAAUUUGAAAUCUGGCUCUUUCAGGGUCCGAGUUGUAAUUUGCAGAGGGCGCUUUGGCGUUGGCAGCGGUCCAAGUUCCUUGGAACAGGACGUCACAGAGGGUGAGAAUCCCGUACGUGGUCGCUGGCCUUCGCCGUGUAAAGCCCCUUCGACGAGUCGAGUUGUUUGGGAAUGCAGCUCUAAAUGGGAGGUAAAUUUCUUCUAAAGCUAAAUACUGGCCAGAGACCGAUAGCGCACAAGUAGAGUGAUCGAAAGAUGAAAAGCACUUUGGAAAGAGAGUCAAAUAGCACGUGAAAUUGUUGAAAGGGAAGCGCUUGCAGCCAGACUUGCCUGUAGUUGCUCAUCCGGGCUUCUGCCCGGUGCACUCUUCUAUAGGCAGGCCAGCAUCAGUUUGGGCGGUUGGAUAAAGGUCUCUGUCAUGUACCUCUCUUCGGGGAGGCCUUAUAGGGGAGACGACAUGCAACCAGCCUGGACUGAGGUCCGCGCAUUUUGCUAGGAUGCUGGCGUAAUGGCUGUAAGCGGCCCGUCUUGAAACACGGACCAAGGAGUCUAACAUCUAUGCGAGUGUUUGGGUGUCAAGCCCGAACGCGUAAUGAAAGUGAACGGAGGUGGGAACCCUUUAGGGCGCACCAUCGACCGAUCCUGAUGUCUUCGGAAGGAUUUGAGUAAGAGCAUGGCUGUUGGGACCCGAAAGAUGGUGAACUAUGCUUGAAUAGGGUGAAGCCAGAGGAAACUCUGGUGGAGGCUCGCAGCGGUUCUGACGUGCAAAUCGAUCGUCAAAUUUGGGCAUAGGGGCGAAAGAUAAUCGACUAUC
rnacentral:rRNA from 1 species